rnacentral:miRNA from 1 species
ACAUCUCCACUUGUCUCCUUCU